rnacentral:rRNA from 1 species
CCUACGGGAGGCUGCAGUGGGGAAUAUUGGGCAAUGGGCGCAAGCCUGACCCAGCAACGCCGCGUGAAGGAAGAAGGCUUUCGGGUUGUAAACUUCUUUUCUGGGGGACGAACAAAUGACUGUACCCCAGGAAUAAGCCACGGAUAACUACGCGCCAGCAGCCGCUGUAAUACGUAGGUGGCACGCGUUAUCCGGAUUUAUUGGGUGUAAAGGGCGUGUAGGCGGGAAUGCAAGUCAGAUGGUAACACUCAGGGCUCAACCCUGAGCCUGCAUUUGAAACUGUGUUUCUUGAGUGCAGUAGAGGCAAUCGGAAUUCCGGGUGUAGCGGUGAAAUGCGUAGAUAUACGGAGGAACACCAGUGGCGAAGGCGGAUUGCUGGACAGUAACUGACGCUGAGGCGCGAAAGCGUGGGGAGCAAACAGGAUUAGAUACCCUGGUAGUC